ACGAACCUCUGGAGAGACUCUUAAUGAGCACCGAAGGGGAAAACUAAUCAAUGAUUAGUGAAACUCUCAGGUAAAAGGACAGAGGAU
rnacentral:ncRNA from 1 species